AGAGUUUGAUCCUGGCUCAGAGUUAACGCUGGCGGCGUGCCUAACACAUGCAAGUCGAGCGAAGAGUACCAGAGUACCGGGCUCUUAGCGGCAGACGGGUGAGUAACACGUAAACAAUCUGCCCUCGAAUGGGAGACAACCAAGCGAAAGUUUGGCUAAUACCCCAUACAAUCUUCUCCAGGCAUCUGGAGGGGAUGAAAGGCCCGCAAGGGUCGUUCGAGGAGGAGUUUGCGGCCUAUCAGCUAGUUGGCGGUGUAACAGACCACCAAGGCUAUGACGGGUAGCCGAUCUAAAAGGAUGACCGGCCACAAGGGCACUGAGACACGGGCCCUACUCCUACGGGAGGCAGCAGUGGGGAAUUUUGGACAAUGGACGAAAGUCUGAUCCAGCGACGCCGCGUGAAGGACGAAGGUUUUCGGAUCGUAAACUUCUUUUGCAGGGGACGAGUACGCGCAAGCGUUUGACGGUACUCUGCGAAUAAGCCACGGCUAACUACGUGCCAGCCGCCGCGGUAAUUC
rnacentral:rRNA from 1 species